rnacentral:lncRNA from 1 species
GUUAAUGUCCAUAAAGGACUUUAUUGUUUGGUACAACUUUUUUUUUUUUUUGGCAUCAGAAAAAACUUUAUUAAGCUAAUGGUUCAAACAAGCAAGCUUCAUGGGUUAGCUAUGGGGGAGCCUGUUCUCCAACGAAACAGAAGUCUGAGGCUCGUGAUCGUCCUGCCUUAGAGAGAGUCCGCACGGCCAUUGUCAAAACGACAAACGAAAAUAACAGAGGUAGCAGAGAACUCUGAGCAAAGAAAAUCAAUUUCAUCUAGUUCAGGCCCAAG